rnacentral:ncRNA from 1 species
CCACGUUCUCAGGGCGGGGUGAGAUUCCCCACCGGCGGUAAUGGCACAGUUCUGUGCCUAGCCCGCGAGCGCUUGCUCAGGCAAGGUCAGCAGACUCGGUGUGAUUCCGGGGCCGACGGUAUAGUCCGGAUGAGAGAGAGCGGGA